AACGCUGGCGGCGUGCCUAAUACAUGCAAGUCGAACGGUCUUUCUAUGGAAGCUUGCUUCCACUGAGAAGAUAGUGGCGAACGGGUGAGUAACACGUGGGUAACCUGCCCAUAAGAGGGGGGAUAACAUCCGGAAACGGGUGCUAAUACCGCAUAGUUUUCUUGAUCGCAUGAUCGGGAAAGGAAAGACGGCCUUUGUGCUGUCGCUUAUGGAUGGACCCGCGGCGUAUUAGUUAGUUGGUGAGGUAACGGCUCACCAAGACGAUGAUACGUAGCCGACCUGAGAGGGUGAUCGGCCACAUUGGGACUGAGACACGGCCCAAACUCCUACGGGAGGCAGCAGUAGGGAAUCUUCCGCAAUGGACGAAAGUCUGACGGAGCAACGCCGCGUGAGUGAAGAAAGGUUUUCGGAUCGUAAAACUCUGUUGUCAGAGAAGAACAAGUUGGAGAGUAACUGCUCCAGCCUUGACGGUAUCUGACCAGAAAGCCACGGCUAACUACGUGCCAGCCGCAGC
rnacentral:rRNA from 1 species